CGAAGUCUUGGAAGAGAGUAA
rnacentral:miRNA from 1 species